rnacentral:rRNA from 1 species
CAGCAGCCGCGGGAAUACGAAGGGGGCUAGCGUUGUUCGGAUUAACUGGGCGUAAAGGGCGCGUAGGCGGGUUUUUAAGUCAGAGGUGAAAUCCCAAGGCUCAACCUUGGAACUGCCUUUGAUACUGGAAGUCUUGAGUCCGGGAGAGGUGAGUGGAACUGCGAGUGUAGAGGUGAAAUUCGUAGAUAUUCGCAAGAACACCAGUGGCGAAGGCGGCUCACUGGCCCGGUACUGACGCUGAGGCGCGAAAGCGUGGGGAGCAAACAGGAUUAGAUACCCCAGUAGUCCCUGUCUCUUAUAA